GGGAGCAAGAGAAGCAGUCUCCCCACUGAGCAGGGAGCCAGAGUACAGAAGUGAGGCCUGUGUGGUUGAAGAGCUGGAAGCAAGUACAGAGGAGUAAGAGAUGAAGCCGGCGAGAAUGCAGGGACAGAUCACAGGGACCUUGCAGAGACAGCCAGCGAGAGAGGGAAC